UUCAGAUCAUGGAUGGAAAGAUUUUAAGCAAAGAAGACACCUGGAAAUGUUUUUCCACCCCAGGCAUCCGGUCCCAAUCAUCAUCAGUUCUGAUGAUGUCACAUUCAUAUCAAGUCCACAACCUCUUAAAAUUGUUUCUAUAAACUGCAGUGAAUGGGAAUGUUCUGUCAUUGUUCCUCAUUGUUCUUGGAAGGAGAAAUGUCAGUUUAUCUGGAGUAAUACUGCAAUACUGUGACACUGAAUUAAAACAAUACUGUCCUUGUCACAUUUUCUCUAAAGUGUACCUGUUGUUUUGUUGUGUUUAUUGUGCUAUUUUUCAUAAGCAUGUUUGUUGUCUGUAAACUUUUAAUUUAUUGACAAUUUGUACAAUUCUGUGAUAUUAUAUUGGCAACGUACUCUUGAAAAAUAUGAAUUUAUUGAAUACACAAUGUAAUUUGUUUCACCUGCGAAGUGUGUUGUAAUUGAUCCUUCUGUGUCCUGGACUGGUAGUCUAAACACAAUAUGUCAACCAGAGUAAAACAUGAGUUUAUCUAAGAUAGUUGUUUUAUGUGUUGAUUAAGAAAAUAACUAAUGAUAAAGAAUGUUUGAAUUGGCCUUUUGUGGCUACAUUAAAGCAGCUUAGUCACUUUCACCAGCAGAGGCUCAGCAUUUAGAAUAAGGCAUGACAACAAACAUUGGACUGAGAAAUAGUUCCCUAUGAUGAGCCUCAGCAGACGCUCAGUUCCACCAGGUGUUUGCGAAUUCCUGCUGCUGCUAGUCUGGAGGAGCUGGUGAUGGGAGGGGAGGUUCUGUGGGAGUGGCCUCAGCUGGAGCCUGCAGCUCCAAGGAAGAGCUUUAGGUAAACAGGCAGCACUUAGCGAGAGCAAGUGUUUAAGAACAACAAAUGGUUGCCACGGGAGAUUCAAUUAUUCUUCAAACAUGCAUGGCAGAAUCAAAGCAAUAGGUAUAUUUUUGAUGAGGGAACAACAGGAUAUAAAGAUGAAAAAAAGUUGACUUGACAUAACUGUUAAGUCAAACUGUCUGUUUUUGAUUGGAAAUCAGGAAAUUGAUCAUUUUUAACUGACUGACUCAGAAUGAAGACAAAAAUUCCUUCCUUCUUACAUAGCAACACAGCUCUGUACCAUCACUGAGAGGACAACACAAUUUCAGAUGGAAAAAUAAACAUAUUUUUUGUUUUAA